GCAUCGAUAGUUAAGUGACAGAACGGUGGGGCGUUGAACCAUGUGACCCGGGUUCGAGCCCCGGUCAAUGCA